rnacentral:hammerhead_ribozyme from 1 species
AUCCAGCUAACGAUUCCCAAAUAGAACGAAACGCGCGUCAAACUGGAU